UGGGUCAUUUCAACUGGUGUGUUGAAGCAUAUGGAUCUCUUCGCUGCUUUGGUUUCGUUCGUGGACUAACCUGCAUGUAUGGAUCUCUUCGCCGCCUAGGAGAGUCACUUCUGGGAGUAAUAUGAUUCUUGUGAGACUUGUCUUCGUCGAGUUGCAAACAGCUUGGAAUUCUGAUCUCUAAAGAAAUGGCGGCCGGUAAUUAAUACUAAUUAGGUUAUCUUCAGCAGAUUCUCUAUCUUAUCUCUUAUUUCAUCCUUUAUAUUUCAAAACAUUACUCUAAAUAGUGUCAUCUAUAGUUUCGUGUUACCUA